rnacentral:lncRNA from 1 species
UGAUGAAGGAUGGUCAAGAGGUCCCGUUACCUACGACUAGUUCAGUAGUGAGCAUUGCUGAUAUUACUAAGGUGAUCCACAAUAGUCGAGUGUUUGGGUCGGUGUUCCCAAAGGAUAACGAGGAAGCAGUUAUGAGUAAGAAGGUGGAAGUGCCUGUUGAAGACCCAGUUGGCUUUUCAAAAGGUAAGUCUGGUAAAUCCAUCAAUUUGAAACCCAAUGAUGAUGAGGUACUUCGGUUAAUCAAAAGAAGCGAGUUUAAU